rnacentral:rRNA from 1 species
GACAGAGGUGCCGAGCGUUAGGCGGAAUCACUGGGCUUAAAGCGUGUGUAGGCGGGCCGUUAAGUGCCCCGUGAAAUCCCCCGGCUCAACCGGGGAACGGCGGGGCAUACUGGCGGCCUUGAGCCACUUAAGGGCAGACGGAACAAGCGGUGGAGCGGUGAAAUGCGUUGAUAUCGAUAGGAACUCCGGUGGCGAAGGCGGCAUACUGGACCACCACUGACGCUGAUGCGCGAAAGCCAGGGGAGCAAACGGG